UACGGAGGAUGCAAGCGUUAUCCGGAAUGAUUGGGCGUAAAGCGUCCGCAGGUGGCUGUGUAAGUCUGCUGUCAAAGAGCGAAGCUCAACUUCGUAAAGGCAGUGGAAACUACACGGCUAGAGUGCGUUCGGGGCAGAGGGAAUUCCUGGUGUAGCGGUGAAAUGCGUAGAGAUCAGGAAGAACACCAGUGGCGAAGGCGGCCGACUGGACGGCACCUGACGCUGAGGCGCGAAAGUGUGGGGAGCAAACGGG
rnacentral:rRNA from 1 species